CCCUAGUAACGGCGAGUGAAGCGGCAACAGCUCAAAUUUGAAAUCUGGCGCAAGCCCGAGUUGUAAUUUGUAGAGGAUGCUUCUAGGUAGCGACCGGUCUAAGUUCCUUGGAACAGGACGUCAUAGAGGGUGAGAAUCCCGUAUGUGACUGGCCCGCACCUUCUACGUAGCUCCUUCGACGAGUCGAGUUGUUUGGGAAUGCAGCUCUAAAUGGGAGGUAAAUUUCUUCUAAAGCUAAAUACCGGCCAGAGACCGAUAGCGCACAAGUAGAGUGAUCGAAAGAUGAAAAGCACUUUGGAAAGAGAGUUAAAAAGCACGUGAAAUUGUUGAAAGGGAAGCGCUCACAACCAGACUUCUAGGCAGUGUUCCGCCGGUCUUUUGACCGGUCUACUCUCUGUCUCGAGGCCAACAUCAUCUGGGACCGCUGGAUAAGACCUUAGGAAUGUAGCUCCCCUCGGGGAGUGUUAUAGCCUCUGGUGAUGCAGCGAGUCUCGGGUGAGGUCCGCGCUUCGGCAAGGAUGUUGGCGUAAUGGUUGUCAGCGGCCCGUCUUGAAACACGGACCAAGGAGUCUAACAUCUAUGCGAGUGUUCGGGUGUCAAACCCCUACGCGUAAUGAAAGUGAACGGAGGUGGGAAGCGUAAGCUGCACCAUCGACCGAUCCUGAUGUCCUCGGAUGGAUUUGAGUAAGAGCAUAGCUGUUGGGACCCGAAAGAUGGUGAACUAUGCCUGAAUAGGGUGAAGCCAGAGGAAACUCUGGUGGAGGCUCGCAGCGGUUCUGA
rnacentral:rRNA from 1 species